rnacentral:rRNA from 1 species
GACGAACGCUGGCGGCGUGCUUAACACAUGCAAGUCGAACGGUGAUGAUGGGGCUUGCUCUGUCUGAUCAGUGGCGAACGGGUGAGUAACACGUGAGUAACCUGCCCCUGACUCUGGGAUAACCGUGGGAAACGACGGCUAAUACCGGAUAUGAGACGUCCACGCAUGUGGAGCGUCUGGAAAGAUUUAUUGGUCUGGGAUGGACUCGCGGCCUAUCAGCUUGUUGGUGGGGUAAUGGCCUACCAAGGCGACGACGGGUAGCCGGCCUGAGAGGGCGACCGGCCACACUGGGACUGAGAUACGGCCCAGACUCCUACGGGAGGCAGCAGUGGGGAAUAUUGCACAAUGGGCGAAAGCCUGAUGCAGCGACGCCGCGUGGGGGAUGAAGGCCUUCGGGUUGUAAACCCCUUUCAGCAGGGAAGAAGCGAAAGUGACGGUACCUGCAGAAGAAGCGCCGGCUAACUACGUGCCAGCAGCCGCGGUAAUACGUAGGGCGCAAGCGUUGUCCGGAAUUAUUGGGCGUAAAGAGCUCGUAGGCGGUUUGUCGCGUCUGCUGUGAAAUCCUGAGGCUCAACCUCGGGCUUGCAGUGGGUACGGGCAGACUAGAGUGCGGUAGGGGUGACUGGAAUUCCUGGUGUAGCGGUGGAAUGCGCAGAUAUCAGGAGGAACACCGAUGGCGAAGGCAGGUCACUGGGCCGCAACUGACGCUGAGGAGCGAAAGCAUGGGGAGCGAACAGGAUUAGAUACCCUGGUAGUCCAUGCCGUAAACGUUGGGCACUAGGUGUGGGGCUCAUUCCACGAGUUCCGUGCCGCAGCAAACGCAUUAAGUGCCCCGCCUGGGGAGUACGGCCGCAAGGCUAAAACUCAAAGGAAUUGACGGGGGCCCGCACAAGCGGCGGAGCAUGCGGAUUAAUUCGAUGCAACGCGAGGACUUACCAAGGCUUGACAUACACC